rnacentral:rRNA from 1 species
UACGAAGGGGGCGAGCGUUGUUCGGAUUUACUGGGCGUAAAGGGCGCGCAGGCGGCUAUGUUUGUCAGGCGUGAAAGCCCCGGGCUUAACCUGGGAACUGCGUUUGAUACGGCAUGGCUAGAGUUCGGGAGAGGAGAGUGGAAUUCCCAGUGUAGAGGUGAAAUUCGUAGAUAUUGGGAAGAACACCUAUGGCGAAGGCAGCACUCUGGGACGGUACUGACGCUGAGACGCGAAAGCGUGGGGAGCGAACAGG